CCUACGGGGUGCAGCAGUCGAGAAUUAUUCACAAUGGGGGAAACCCUGAUGGUGCGACGCCGCGUGGGGGAAUGAAGGUCUUCGGAUUGUAAACCCCUGUCAUGUGGGAGCAAAUUAAAAAGAUAGUACCACAAGAGGAAGAGACGGCUAACUCUGUGCCAGCAGCCGCGGUAAUACAGAGGUCUCAAGCGUUGUUCGGAAUCACUGGGCGUAAAGCGUGCGUAGGCUGUUUCGUAAGUCGUGUGUGAAAGGUGCGGGCUCAACCCGCGGACGGCACAUGAUACUGCGAGACUAGAGUAAUGGAGGGGGAACCGGAAUUCUCGGUGUAGCAGUGAAAUGCGUAGAUAUCGAGAGGAACACUCGUGGCGAAGGCGGGUUCCUGGACAUUAACUGACGCUGAGGCACGAAGGCCAGGGGAGCGAAAGGGAUUAGAUACCCUUGUAGUC
rnacentral:rRNA from 1 species